GACGAACGCUGGCGGCGUGCUUAACGCAUGCAAGUCGAACGGAAAGGCCCUGCUUUUGUGGGGUGCUCGAGUGGCGAACGGGUGAGUAACACGUGAGUAACCUGCCCUUGACUUUGGGAUAACUUCAGGAAACUGGGGCUAAUACCGGAUAGGAGCUCCUGCUGCAUGGUGGGGGUUGGAAAGUUUCGGCGGUUGGGGAUGGACUCGCGGCUUAUCAGCUUGUUGGUGGGGUAGUGGCUUACCAAGGCUUUGACGGGUAGCCGGCCUGAGAGGGUGACCGGCCACAUUGGGACUGGGAUACGGCCCAGACUCCUACGGGAGGCAGCAGUGGGGAAUAUUGCACAAUGGGCGGAAGCCUGAUGCAGCAACGCCGCGUGCGGGAUGACGGCCUUCGGGUUGUAAACCGCUUUCGCCUGUGACGAAGCGUGAGUGACGGUAAUGGGUAAAGAAGCACCGGCUAACUACGUG
rnacentral:rRNA from 1 species